CGGCAAACGGGUGAGUAACACGUGAGAAACCUUCCCUUGAAUGGGGAAUACCCACGAGAAAUCGUGGCUAAUACCCCAUAAGACCACAGUUCGGCAUCGAACAGAGGUCAAAGGUGCAAAUCGUUUGAGGAUGGUCUCGCGUCCUAUCAGCUAGUUGGUGAGGUAAUGGCUCACCAAGGCAAUGACGGGUAUCCGGCCUGAAAGGGCGAUCGGACACACUGGAACUGAGACACGGUCCAGACUCC
rnacentral:rRNA from 1 species